AUAAUUAUUCAAUUCUCCUAGGUCAAUUUUAAUUUCAUUGGCCGGACUCUGAAAUGUCUGAAAUGAAAUUUGGUAUUUUGUUAAAUUUUUAAGGUUAUCUAUUUUUUCUUGCUUUUAUACCAUGCAUUUAUUGCAUUUAAAUAAAAAAAAUGAUGGGCAUGUAUAGGCUCUUAAAUCUGUCUUAUCUCGAAACUGAGGUAUAUGAACAAUUUUUACCUAUAAAAACCUGAGAUUUUUUGAAUUUAUAGUCAUUAGAAUUUGAAAUUUUGCUAAUUAGUGAAUUAGAAUAAAAUGCGUUUCCUCGCUAUACUCAUUGCCAUUGUCAUGGCCCUUGUUUUGGUUUCUGCCGAAGAGGAUCCAUGCUUGAAACCAUGCGCUAGAAAUUUUGACUUUGUGUGUGGUCAAUUCCCCGAUGGUACGACGAAAACUUAUAACAAUCCCUGCGGAAUGGAAAUUGAGGCUUGCCAGAAAGGCAUUGAAAUUGUUAUGCUACACCGGGGAACUUGCGAUAAACCAAUUAAGGAUUAA